GCUGAUUUGGCUCAGUGGAUAGAGCAUCAGCCUGCAGACUGAAGGGUCCUGGGUUCGAUUCCAGGCAAGGGCA
rnacentral:tRNA from 1 species